UACACAGGAACACCACCUCCAUCAUCUUCCUACCCCUUAUGGCACCACUACUGCUCCCCCACCAACUCCAUCGGCACACUCUAAUCAUAAUCUCCUUUCCACUUCUGAAGCCGCUGACUCUCUAUCUCGUCUUCUCCACCGUAUCCCACCCACCCUUUCCCUCUCCUUUCCCGGUCGCCGUCAAUCUCCUCCACCAACCACCGUCUCUCCUCAUCUCAUCUCUCUUUCCGAUGCAAAAUCAAUUCUUCACUCUAACCUCCUUUUCGCGGCAAAACAACACGGUUUCUUCCAGCUCACACAACACUCCAUCUCCUCUCACCUCGCUCAAUCAGCUGAAUCGGAAUCUGCAUCCAUUUUCAAUGAUGAGAAACAACUCUGCUUUCCGAAGAACUGGCCCUUAGGCUUCGAUAAUGAUGAGGAUGACGACGAUGACGUUGUCAGCGGCCGGUCAAUUUGUCUCGACGAGUCAAGUUCAAUGGAAUUAGGAUUUAGUUCUAUUCAUGAAUUUACUUCCCAAAUGGAAAAACUAGGGUUGGAGUUGAUUGAAGAACUGGCGUGUGCUGUUGGGUUUGAGAACCCGGUAAGAGAAGAUAGGACCCGCCUCUGUUCAUUGAUGUGGAUAUCCGACACCGAAAGCGGCUCAAAUAACAUGCCACUUUCACCGGGUCGGAUUUACCCGUAUGUAGUCGGGUUAAAUUACCAAAUACGUUGCCGGAAGUACUCCAUGUUGGCUGAUUCCAGUUGGGUAUCUGUCACUCCUCAAGUCGACUCAGUCAUGGUAACGCUCGGCGAUAUUGCUCAGGUAUGGAGUAAUG
rnacentral:misc_RNA from 1 species